UUGAGAACAUUGGUUGUUUCACCAGGAGACAUAAGCUCAACCGCUUCAUAAGCCAUUUCAGGAUCAGUCAAAAUUUUAUCCAGCUGAUUCACAGCUGCUUCUUGCUUCACUUCAAAUAUACUAUCCCUGAUUCCCAAGGUAGAAAGAAGAGUAAUUAACUGUCGAUUUAGGAAGCACGGCUGGUACUUGGUAUAGGCAAGGACAUCCAGUUUUGUAUUUGUGGACUCAUACUUAGACAUACUUUUUCGUAGAGAAAGCUUCUUAGAAGAAGUUGGAUCGACGGCCACAACACCUUUAUAGCCUCCAUACCUUAUUUGGAAGGCCGAAGGAGUUGAACUCUUCAAGCCAUAUUUUGCAGCAACUCUUCUUGCAAAAUCAGCAGAAAUCUUUCCAAUUCCAUCAGAGAAGCAACAACUUGUCCCGUUAUACACAUCAUCAAUGAUAUCUACUUCAUGCCUGCCAACACUUAAAGUUUCCGUGGAGGAACUGAAAGAUUGGCCGAGCCUAGCAGCAUACUUAGCCACAUUUCUGAUACUUCGGAAGUCGCCCAUCCACUGUCUAAUGUCACUUGCAGUCAUCUCAAUUCCUGAAGCGAACAUCCACGCCGAAUUGUCCCGCAACUGGCUAGAUGAGAAGGCGAGAAAUUCGAACUUCUUAUUGCCAAUGGCAAUACCAUUUCUCAGGACCGACAAUAUUCUUUUAUAAAGUGCUGUAUGUCUUGCACCAUUUGAAGAACCAGACCGUGGCGACAAAUCGGUUGAGCGCAUUUUCUCGCAAUCCUCAUCAACAAAAGAAACCCGAAGAAAAUUAUUCAUUUCAUCCGAAAAAUGCCGUAGCACACGAUUGGAGACGUUAACUUCAGGCCCGCAAAAGUACACUUUAGAAGGGGUAACUUGAACCCUAUGGACAUAAACUAAACCAUCAUCCAAAGAUAUUCUAGGCGAUUUUGGAGGGCAGUCUGAUUGUUUAUACUUUAAAUACUGCUUAGACAGCCAGAUAGCCGGAUCCAAGCAGGUCUUUUUGAAACAAGACAUCUUUUCUAUGGCAUGUACUAUAUAAUCAACAGGCACAAGAUAAGGGCUGACCAAUCUAAAGAACUCGUCAUCAAGUGUUGGACCACUGAUCGUCCCGUUCUGGACCAUUUGAUUGAUCUUGAAGAGUAUGUUAUAAGGCACUUGAAUCAAUGGGUGAGGCUCCACAAUAGGGACUAGCUCCACAUUGCAAGAGUAGGAAGAUCCUCUGUUCAGUUCAUAAUGGCCGUUAAACUCUUCAUAAAAGACAAAGUAUUCACGGAUAUUUGGAAGUUCGUAGUCGUAGGGCAGCUGCAAACAUAUUACAGAUGACUGUCCCAUGCUGCAUGAGGGCGAAAAAUCCGUUGAUCUAAUCCACUUAUCAUCUGGAGUUUCCUUAAAAUAAUUUAGAAGAGGAUCUUCUUGUACAAGACUGGAACUACGAAGCGGCAACUCAUAAAUCUUAGGUGCAGCUGCCAUCUGAAGUAUCAAAACCAGAGCUGAAAAUCAGUUUCUGUCAAGCAAGGAUUAAAAUUUUAAAAAAAGGGCCACCUGAUUGCUGUAAAUGGUUUCAGUAAUGUGCAAGAUUAGAAUGACAAUUUCAAAGAAGAUUGAUACCAUUUUAUUUGUAACUGGUACUUGGCCCAUUUAUAGGAAAUAGAGAAAAACACACAUCAUACAAGUAAAGUUCUGUUAGCAGAAUAGAUUAAAAUCUGUAUCAAGGUCUUCCCCUCCAGCGAAUGCAAAAUGUUCAGGCAAGCGGUUCAAAAAUCUACUAUUCUGUUGACUGACUUAGUAAGUAGACAAAUGGAAUGAUGUAUCAGCAUUUGAAGGAUGAUGUAUAAUUAUUGUAAAUUGAAUGAAACAAAAAAAAAGAAGAGGAACCAAUUGUCAUAUUUUGGCACUAAAGUAUCUAAAAGCCAAGUAAUUAAAGAAAAAAAAUAUGACUUCAACACAGAAAAUACUUGAGAAAGACGGACCUGAAACAAAAGGAAUUGUGAACCUUGAUCAGACGAGCGGUGUAGCUGGAUCUCCCAUAUGCUUUCAUAAGAAAGCUCGAGCUUGUAUUCAAAACUUCCCUUGGAGAGAAAAAAGUAUAUCUUCCUCAAAUUAAAACCAAAGUUAACGUGAACGUCGGAAGCACUCCAGAGAACACAAAAGCUUCUUUUCGAAACCGGGCAGCCAAAAUGAAGGGUUGCACGUUCUACAACAAAUAGAGAAGAUCUAGGCUUCGGCACAAUGUCGCGUUCCAUAUAUCGAGCCUUAAGAUAAUAUCCCUGACACCUCAAGAGGCUAUUGUCAGCCAAGUAAAUUAUUUGUUUGGCUUGCCCUUCUGUUAAGAACUGAACCACAGCAUAAGAUCUCGACUUUCCAGUGGUUACUUUUGGUUGUCUAAGCUUGAGCGCAUAGACGGAUCCAUCGCUUAUAAAUCCUUCCAAAAUGUUCUUCGCAUAAUCAGCGCUAGCAUGUAGCGGGAAACCAUGAAUAUUAACCGUCUUGCCUCCCAUCACUUCAGUUGCUGAAGGACCAGAUAAAAACUCAGUUAGCAUUUCUUAAUUCGACUAUGGCUAACAAUCUUUGUGAAAAAGAAGUAUACGUUUGGCAAACACAAUUAGCAACAUGUUGAAUCUGGAUAUCUCCCUUAAAAUAGAAAAAAAAAACUUUUUAUGGGGACAAAAGCUUUCUUUUAGCAUCAAAUACAUUAUGUUUAUUUUAAAACUUUUCUCCAAACAGAGAGUAAACAAGCUAAGAAUGAUCACAGUAAAAAAAAAAAUAGCACCGAGAGCAACAAAAUUCCUCAAGAUUAUCUCCAGCUAUAAGAUUUCUAAGGCACAGCAUUUUUUACAACAAAUAUCAAAUUGUUUGACAAAGACAUUAUAUAUCUAAUCUGAAUCAAGAAGAAACAAGAGAUUUCUCCAGUUAAAUCGCAAAUAAAACGAGAUGACUAUAAUUAGUAGCACUCCCGAUUAUUAUAAAGAAUCAAACCCGAGAGCCCCGUUUCAUAUCAAGCAUCAUCAAGCCCAACUGGGGAAGAAAAUUACCAUAAAUGGCAAAAAAAAAAUCGACUAAUUUGCGAGCUCCACUGUAAGAAAGAUCAAAACAAUAUCUAUGAGAGAGACAGUGGUUUCCCACGAAGAGAAAAGAAACCCCCACUAAAAAUCGCACCUUCGUGCUACAAUACAUAGAAACAAAGGAAGAAAACAAAGAAUUAUGAAAAUCCACUGGAAAAAAAACCUCAGAUAGAGAAGAAAAAUUACCAAAAUUAGCUAAAAAAAUGCGAUUAUUUCCGUAAAUAGGGGGAAAAAAUCGCACCUUUACGCUACUAUACGUAACAACAAAGAAAGAAACCAAUAAUUAUGAACACCCAUCGGAAAAAAAAAAAAAAUCCGAUAAGUUACGAGCUACCACACAAGAAGAUCACAACAAGAUGUCCAAGAGAGAGUGAUAUCCCGACGAAGAGAAGAGUAAAAAUCUCACCUUUAGGAUGCUCGAGGAGGGGAAAACACGCGGAGACGGGGAGCGAGAGCGACGAGAGUGGGGGAGUGAGCGAGUGAGUGAGUGCGUGCUCUUCUAACAAGUAAACGUUUUCGACGUGAGUCGCGGGACCCACCAUCAGUGGCCACGUCGCGCGUAAAGAGAUUCUGUGAAUUGGUCUAAUUAGUUACCUUCUCCACCCUCCAAAAUACUCAUUUUAUUUUUUUCUCAAAAUUUUAAUGGAUGAAAACUUUUUGAUUAUAUAUAUAUAUAUAUAUAUAUAUAUAUAGAGUUUGGCUGAGCUACUAUUGGUAGUAAACUGCUCGGUUUACUACCGAUUUAUUUUUGAUGAUAGAGCUUCCAAAUCGACGAUCAGCACCAUUGAACAUGAUUUAGACCAUUUAAAUUAUCUAGAAAUCAAAUUUCAUGAUUAUUUGGCAUCACUAACUAAACGAUUAAAAGGUCACAAAAUUUAUAAUUUUAAUGGCCGAUGUGGUGCGUUUGCUUGUUUAACGGUAUAGAAGAGUUCAAAUCAACUAAAUUUUUGUUAAAAAAAUCUUUAAACUAUUUAAAAUAAGAUCUAAACUCUAGAUCUCAAAUAUAAAAAUUGUAUUAUCACUUUUUUGAAGGAUAUUCAUUUCCAGCCAUUCAUUUUUCUGUUUACUUGAUAGACAAAAGAACAAUAUCGAAAAUGUGUGAAAUUUGAUUUUUCGAUAAUUUAAAUAGUUUAGAUCAAUUUUAACGGUGCCGAUCAUCAAUUUGGAAGCUCUAUCAUCGAAAACAAAUCGGCAGUAAACCGAGCCGUUUACUACUGAUAGUAUUCUAGCAAAACUAUAUAUAAGAGAGAGAGAGAGAGAGGGAGAGUAGGGUUACUAUACUCUUAUGAGUAUAGAGCCCUUUCGUACUCGUAAAUUGUUUUCAAUGUUAGGGUUUUCGAAUCGACGAUCCACACCGUUAAACAUGAUCUAGAGAAUUUAAAACUUCUAGAAAAUAAAUUUUGUAAUUUUUUGAAAUCAUUAUAAAGUCCAUCAAGCGGAUAUAAAAUGAACGGUCAAAAUCGAACGACAUCCUAAAAAUGGAUGAUCGGGUCCUUCAAUUUAAGAUCAGGGUUGUUGAUCUUUAUCUAAGUAGUGAAUAGAAUUUUCUAUCAAAAAUUCAAGCUAUUCCGAUUCUUUUACACCUUUAAACUAGCAACUAUCACAUACCGGCCAUUAAAAGUUGCCAAUUUUAUGAGCUUUUGAUCGUAAGGUAAAUGAUGUCGAAAUAUUAUAAAAUUUAAUUUCUAGAAGCCUUAAAUGCUGUAGAUAACGUUUAACGGUGUAGAUCGUCGAUUCGGAAACUUUAUCAUUGAAAACAACUUAUGAGUACGAGGGCGAUCGUACUCAUAAGAGUAUAGUAGCUCUACUCUCUCUCUCUCUCUCUCUCUCUCUCUAUCUAUAUAUAUAUAUAUAUAUAUAUAUAUAUAUAUAUAUAUAGAGUUUCAUCUCUUCUUUGUGCACCUUAAGAAACUGAGAGACAUUUUGUGUGACCAUUUGUUGGAGAAAAAGGAUCUCUCGAUCUCAACAUGAGAUUGAUGAUGAUGGGUUCUAAGCGAUGCGCCGUUCUUUUUCUUAUGAUCAUCUUAGCAUCUCUACUCUCCACUUCAUUCGCAGGUCAAUUAAUUUGUAUUUCAUGCAUAUUUCUUUUUUUGAUGCAUUUGUUGUCAUCUAUAGAAACUAAGGCCAUGCAUGCAUCUCUCAUGAAAGAUGAUUCAUAUUAUUUAUUCUUCUAAUCAUACUUUGUUUGUAAUUUCUUUUUCAAGAGACUAAAAGUUUAAAACUAGUUUUUGAAAUCUUUUUUAAUUUUGUUGUAGCUCUAUUGUUAGAAUACGAUCGAUAAAUAUAAGAAGCAACGGAAAAUUUUUUUGAUCUUCUAUGUAGUAGUAGUACUUUGGUGACCCAAAAAAGGAACAACAUGAACUUGUUUUUCUGAAUUAUUGUAAACCCAGUUGUUCAUUUAUUUUGUUGCAUGAAUUUUAGAGACAAUUAAAUAGCUAAAUAUGAGCAGCAUGUAAAAUCACUCUUUGUGAAAAGAGAUUUUAUUUUUAAAAAUUUUUUUACUAAUUUUUUUUUUAUGGUUUUACACAGGAGGGGAUCGGCUGUUCUUCGCGAAAUAUGGAAGAGAAGUCGAAAAGAAGGUUUGUAGUAGAAAAAAUAGGAGAUUAUUUCAUCUUUUUUUCCUCCUCUCUUUUUUUUUUUCUUUAAAUUUUUUCUGCUAUAUUUAUUGUCAGGAUAAAUGGUAAGGUUCCACUUUUACAUGUGAAUAAACCCUACUAUAUAACAUCUAAGAAGAGAAUGUAUCACUUAUAAGAAAAUAAAACUUUUAAGUCACAUAUAAGAUCUUAUAUUUCUAUUGCCAAAUGGUUAGGGAUACAUAAUUAUAGAAGUUGCUUAGGAAGAGGCUAAGUUAAUAUUAUUUUCCAAAGUAAGUGCAAGAAUUAAUAGGUUCUUAAUUCCUACUUAGCAUGGCUUCGCGUCAACAAUUUCGCAACAUUGCAAAGCCAUUACGAACAAUUUGGCGAACAAUUUUAAUUUGCUUAAGUCGAGAGCCAUUUAAGAGAUUUUUAUUGAAAAAGUUUAGUGUUUCUUCGUACAGCUAUAUUCGAAAUGUGCUUUCUCAAAAAGUUUAUCUCCUUAACGAAAAAUAUUGUUUUUGUUACUCGGUUUUCUCCGAUUCGUAAUCAUGUUUUUUCUUUCUUUUGAUCAAUUACAGGAUUUAGCUACAAAGAAUUUGAAGCAAGAAAAAGUUGUCCACACUAGAAUUCUCCAAGCGGAAACAAAUGACUAUGGAAGCUAUGACCCUCCCCCUUCUUUCAACAAGCCUCCAUUCAAGCAAAUACCAAACUAAUAUUAAUUCCACUCCUUUUUUCCCCCUCUUUUUUUUUCUAUUAUUCUUGGUCGAUAUGUAGAAUAAAUGUCGCGUUGUAUCUAAUAUUUAUGUGCGAUUUUGUAAAUGUAUAAUAUACAAAUACUGAUUAUAUAUACUAUUAAUUAAGUGUGUAUAAGAAAUUGAAGAUAUGCAAUUAUUAUUGUUUACAUUAUUUUCCUGUUGAAUGGUGCAUUAAUUCUUUUUUGCUCUAGCUAGUUCUUUUCUUUUGUUUUUCAUGUUAAUUAAUGUAAUAGCUCAUAUCAAUAUAGAAGUGAGAACAUGCAAAUGGACUCAUGAAUCAGUUAAGCAAUAGAUAGUGUAGUAAUAAUGAGGAGAACUCGCGAAACUCCAUUUCCAUUACGAAUUUAAUAGGGUUUUUGAAGAUGUUUUAUGAAUCUAGUAGUUUUUUUUUAGAAAAAACUUCAAAUAUUAUUUCUGUGGUUUUGCACUUUUUUAUUUUAUUAGUACCAUUUGGUUUAAAGUGUAUUAAUUUAGUACCCCGUGAUUUUAUUUUUUUCUUUUUAUUAUCCCCUCCACUAUUUUUUUUUAUUAAAUUAGUAAUAGAGUUAAAACCAAAAGGUACUAAAGUGAAUAUUCGGUAAAUCUAGGUAGAGUAUCUGAAAUUUUUUGUAUAUAAUUUAACGAAAUAUUAAUAGAGGAGCUAACAAAAAUAGAAAAAUAAAACCACAGAGUAUUAAUUAAAUUAAUACACUUUAAACCAUAUGGUUAGGAAUGUCAACAGGUCGGGUUUGGGUNCCACGAGGAUUUUAAUGGACUGUUAUCAUCUGUGAGAACAAAAAAAAAAAAAAAAAAAAGCAAAUUGAAUGAGGUUGCUAUCAAGACGGUUUCGGAAAGCUUUCGUCGAAAGUAGCAAAUAUGAUUAGAAAAGGGAAUUGUCUGUAAAUAACAAUGCUGCGACCACCGUUGUCACCAAUGUUCAAAAAUAUAGAAUCAAUGACCAAGGGAUUCAGGAUGUAAUAUACGGAACAGCGAGCGUUCGUGAUGAAAUAGCACAUUUUCACAUAAGUGUCGGAUCAUCGAAUUUGUACGUACAACAAACAAACCAUGAUCGAGCACCAAUGCUCGAAUCAUUUCAUGCUCAAAAAUAGAAUGACUCCCUCUUAAUUUUGAAGUUAACUAGUUGGAUCACCACGAGAACCAUUUGGUGCUUCAUUUGCCGAUGACCGCGGAAGUUCUUUUGUACAGUGCCAAUUUGCCUUGCUUCUCUUCGUCGGAUCCUAUUGGCCAAGCCUCUCCAUCUUGGGAAACUAUUGAUAAACUGGCUAUAAUUUUCUCUGUCUCUACUUUCUUUAAGAUUGGAUAUGGCACAUUGGGCCCCUUUUGGAAUUGCAUUUGGCUAGGCGAGACCUCUCUCAAGCGUAGAUUCCCUAACCUCUUUUCUUUUGCAAUUGACCCGAAUGCACGCAUCGGUGCACGCUAUGCUGCGCAUUCAUGGUACAUCUCAACCAGGAGUGACCUAUCCAGAGAAGCAGAAGAAGAUCCCCAGAACCUACAUGAUGAACUACACUCCAUCUCAUUUUUGCUUGAAUCAAAUAAAAUCAUGUGGCGAUGGGCCUCAAGGGAGUGCUUCUCUGUUUCAUCAGCUCACACUCUCCUAAUCAACAGGGGUGUUAGGUAUGGUCACCGUAUUAUGAUCCGGAGGCAAGUCAUUCCUCUGAAUGUCAAGAUUUUCACUCGGCUCGCCAUUCAUAAUAAAAUACUUACUGCCGAUAUUUUGGCCCAAAGAGGUUGGCCAAACUCCGAAAAAUGUGUUCUUUUUGGAACUUCCGAUGAAACCUGUAAUCAUCUUUUAAUCUACUGUCCCUUUACAGUAGAUGUUCUGGCCCUCCGCCUUCGUAGGACAAACCUCACCCACGCGGGUUCACUACAUCUAACUGAUUGGUGGCGCACCGUCAGAUAUUCUUUCUUGAAGGAACUGCAGCCUGGCUGUGACUAUCUCAUCAUGGCUUUCUUUUGGUGCAUUUGGUUGGAACGAAAUAGCAGGAUUUUUCAAUGUGCCACAAAGAUUACAAGAUCAAUAGCAAUCAGAAUCAAAUCUUCCUUAGCUACUUCUCUAUCUAAAUUUUAGCUUGAGUUAUUUCAUCGAGAGUAAUUUUUUGACUUUGAAAUGAAAUACCAGAGAACUACAUAUGUAAACCUUGGAGAUGUACAUAAUUUCAUGUAGUAGUAUUAUUCUGGUAAACAGGCCUACCUACCACUUUCCAAAAGAACAGAAAAAGAAGAAAAAAACUGAAUAGGUACCUCGUGUUAGUCUGCAAGGUGCUGCAUCCGAUCUGCACAGCAAAUUCAUGGCCAGCGUAGCACAUCCCGUACUGCCUCUUCAAACCACACAUCUCAGAGGAAAAUUUAUUAGUCAAAAAUACAAGAAAAGAAAAAGAGAACUAUCAAUGAAGAUAUCAACUCUCAUAAAGAAAAAAAAAUAUUCUUGCAAAGAAGGCUCAAGGAAUAUGUUUCGAAUUAAUACAAGCUACGUGAAAAAUAUUACAAGCCAAGCAGUUUACAAUAUUAUUACAACACAACCAUAUUAACUACCUUAACUGAUUCACAAGCACACUCUAAUAAAGUUUACAAUAUUAUUACAACACAACCAUAUUAACUACUUUAACUGAUUCACAAGCACACUCUAAUAAUUAUUACAUAUGUACACAAUGUGUACACAUAGAUCACCAAAAUGACUUCAAUUCUCUCAAACGAUUCUCAACCCUUGCUCCAUCCAUGAUGACAAUUCAGCUUGCCUCUUCCUCAUCACUAUCUUCUUUUGUUUGAUGAUCACCAGCUUAUCGUAGACGCUCCAAGGAAAGCUAAGGAAAUGGGGCCUGUCCAAACCUUCAUUGUAGCGACCCCAAUAGUCCGGGUGAUAAGUAACAUAAUACCAGGCUGAUGCUUUCGCAUAUAAGUCAUCUUCGCUCUGGUCGUCAUCACCACUCAUAUCUUUAAACCAUGACCUCGCUUCUUUCCUCAACGAUUUUACCGCCAACCUAAUUGCUUCUCCAUCAUUUUUCUUGGUAAAGGUCUUUCCCAUCUUCAAAAUGCUGCCACUGAGUAUCUCGGCCUCUGUUUUAAUCUCAUAAUGUUCCAUUAAGUUCCCCAGCUUGAAAUCGUACUCAUCCUUGAAAGAAGAAGCUUCGUUGAGGUAAUCACUAAAGCCGUCGACUUCCAUAUCCGGAUCGUAAGACUGCCUUGCCACCUCCUUUGUGAACUUCUUUAUACUGUCUGGCUGGGGUGUACUGUUUUUGAUUGCCCUGUAGAGUUUUCCUAUAACACCCUCUGAUUCGUAGGUAACUUUGUUGAGUUUCUCCAUGAAAUCAGGAUACUCCUUCACAUGGAGGUGAGGGGGAAUUUCGGCGGGCACUCCUGUUUUAGGGAAGUCGACGGCAAUAGAAAACAGCUUUGCGAGCUCUACACAGGCUUUACUUGAAGCUUUAAGUGGCUCCUUAUCAGCAAAGACUGUGUGGGCAUUUGCGAUGAUUCCUAAACUGUCGUUGACAAUAUAGUUUGUGAAGUACUCCAUCACUUCCUGCGUACCGCCACCACAUAUGAUAGACAGUUAAUAUCUCCCACAAAGGAUCAACUGUCUAUAUAUUUGUACACUACAUAGAGAUAUUGUGUUUUCUGCAGUAUAUACUCCAGAAAGCACAUGAAAUUGCACAAAUACCCUUGCAAAGUAGGUAUUUGUGUACAUAUACUGAAAAGCUCGCUUAUUUUUGCAUGUCCCUAGAGGGGUAUCUAGUAUCUACACACAAAUAUUUUGCAUAUACACCUCUGGAGGAGGAUGAAUGCAAAAAAAUAAAGUUUUAAAGGGCACGCUCAAAUCGCCUAUUUGCAGGGGUUACAUGCAAACAAGACCCAGAACUGCUAAGCAGCUAUUUUGAUGACACCUUUAUACAUCUAAACUCUCUUGCAAAUUUCCAUUUGAAAGAGUUUCUUCAGGUAUCUUAGCAUACAAACCGAAUUGUUUUAUAAAGAGUAAAUAUAUAUGCAGUUAUUGCUAACAAAAUAGCAGAUUAGUCGUUGAGUAAUUUGAAAGGAUGAAUCGCACUUCUAAUUUGUUAAAAUAUUACCUCAAUAGUAACAUCGUGAUCUAAGGUCUCUGUUGGUGCCGGAGUAUAAUCCAUAGGAGGAACCACCUGAGAAGGAAUUAGUGUCGGAUCCCAACAGACAAAGUAUGUGUCUCCAUCUAAGUCACUUCCCGAACACUCAUUAGGAUGGGGUCUGAAUAAUGACAAACAAAUUAGAAAUUAAAUGAUAGAAUAUAUACACUAUGUAUGCGUAAAUGCCAAAAGAACAAGAAGUCAGUGAUAUGCUGAAGAAAGAACUAUCUAGACAAAGAAGCAUUGCUCAAUGGUAUGCUAAAGAAAGCAUUCCUACACAGAAGUGCCCAAAAUGCCUAACAAUUAACAGCUACAAAAGAACGCAUGUUUUUACAGUCAAAAGCCUGACUUAGUGCUUGCUAAUACUAGACAGACAGGUGCAGUUCACCAAGGAAGAUGUUGUAGCACAGGAAAAGUCGCAACUAAAUAUGACAAGAAGACAUUUGAAAGGUUCACUGUCUAGCUAGUAAAAUUGAUUAACAUUUAAAGCAAACAAACAAUAAUAGGAAAAACAAAAAAGAAAAAGCACCUCACCUCUUUCCUUUCUGCGGAAAGACAACACAAUCGACCAUAUGGUGCAGAUCAGGAACAUCAACAGCUGUUAAAACACGAACAUCACCAGGGUGGAGGCAAGGGUUCUUAGCAACCACUACUCUUCCCUUCACCACAACCGUGUGAUCGUCCAAUUCGCCCUCAGCAAACAUAUACAAGCCAUUAUUUUGAAACUGCGAGAUCCCAGUGCAUGAGAUCUGAAUAAAGACCUGCCCGUAUUCUAAUUUGCGGGUUUCAUCCAAGCAACCCAUCAUCGCCCUCCCUUUUGGAACAAAUAUCCUCGACUUAGUUCUCAGUUCCAACAGCCUCGUUGCCCUAUAUGCCUGCAACAGCAUCGAAAGGAAAGGCUCGCGAUCGGGUUUAUACCCACAUAGCAACAGUUCUUUGAGAACAUUGGUUGUUUCACCAGGAGACAUAAGCUCAACCGCUUCAUAAGCCAUUUCAGGAUCAGUCAAAAUUUUAUCCAGCUGAUUCACUGCUGCUUCUUGCUUCAUUUCAAAUAUACUAUCGCUGAUUCCCAAGGUAGAAAGAAGAGUAAUUAACUGUCGAUUUAGAAAGCACGGCUGGUACUUGGUGUAUGCGAGGACAUCCAGUUUCGUAUUUGCGGACUCGUACUUAGACAUACUUCUUCGCAGAGAAAGCUUCUUAGAAGAAGUUGGAUCGACGGCCACAACACCUUUAUAGCCUCCAUACCUUAUUUGGAAGGCCGAAGGAAUUGAACGCUUC
rnacentral:lncRNA from 1 species